AACAUGUCUUUAAGAAUAUAAUUUAAAGUCUAAUUUGCUCCAUGAUUAAUUUUAAAUAGCUGCAGUAUAUUAACUGUACAAAGGUAGCAUAGUCAAUAGUUUUUUAAUUGAAAGCUGGAAUGAAUGAUUUAAUAAGGUGAAUAUUGUCUCAAUUUUAAUAAGAUUAUAAUUUUUUUUUUAGUAAAAAUACUAAAAUGAAUUUAAAAGACGAGAAGACCCUAUAGAUUUUAAUAAUUUUAAUUAAUAAUAUUUAAAUAAAAUAAUAAAUUUUAAUGAUUAAUUAUUUGGUUGGGGAAAUUAUUAAAUUUAAUAAAUUUUAAUUAAUUUAAAACAAUGAUGAUUGAAUUAAUUGAUUUUAAUAAAAAUUUAAAGAAUAAAAUACCUUAGGGAUAACAGCGUAAUUUUUUUGGAGAGAUCUUAUUGAUAAAAAAGUUUGCGACCUCGAUGUUGAAUUAAGAUAAAAUUUUAAUGAAGAAGUUAAAAAAUUUUGGUCUGUUCGACCAUUAAAAUCUUAC
rnacentral:rRNA from 1 species